AAUAAAUUCUUAUUAUUAGGUGUUGGAUAUAUAAUUCAUUUUAAAAAUUUACUAAAAGAUUUAUAAUUAAUAACUAAUCUUAAAACUCCUCUUUCUUGUUUCGGCUGUUUAUUUACAUAAAAAACAGCACAUGACUAUAGUGAUUUGACAGGUAAUAUAAGGCCUUAUUAAAGAAUCAAUUUCAUUUUUGCAUAGUUCUAAAUAUUUCAAGUUCAUUAGGCAUGACCUAGCUUUAGUGGGAAUAUUAUCUUCUUUGAAAUUUUCUUCAUAUGGAAGACUAACUACAUGUUUUUUCUUUGUCAAAAUGUACUUGGAUGGUCUCCACAAAUUUUAAAGAAAAUUUGAUUUUUCAAAAUUUUAACUUUUUUCACUUAGUUUAGGAUUUCGUAAAGUCUCUUCAAUUGUUAGACUAUAAAUUUUAUUUUUGGGAAAAUCAACUUGUCGAUUUUUUGAAAAUAUUCUGCCUUUUAUUGCAUUUAAAAAUCUUGAAUAGGGUGGUGAAAUAAAAUCAAAUAUGAUUUCUAUAUUAUCAAAUGUUUUGGUUAUACCAAUUUAAUCUCACAUGGUAAUAGGGUAUAAGUGAAUAAAAAAUGAAACACCUAAAAUAAUUUCAUUGGUAAUAUCUUUUACUGAAACAAACAUUUCUGACAUACAUAAUUUAUCUUGAUAAAUAUAUGUCUUGAAAAUUUUGUAUUCAACUCUCAAUUUAUGACCACUAGUAUUUCUUAAAACCUGAGUAGAUUUAUAUGUUGACUAAUUCUUCAAUAAAUCAAUCACUGCAAAAUCUUUUCUUUAUGGUCUUAUUUUUUAGUCUUAGUGGAAUUAUGUUUUACUUGGUCAAUUUUUUUUUAUUUUCUGUUUUCUAUCAGUGGGAAUGUUGGUAUUUAUGUCAUGUUUCACCACUACUUGUUUUAGUUCCUAUAUUUUAGCUUAAGUUGUUGAGUUGUAAACCUAUAAAAGGCAGUAGAUUUCUUGUUAUUCUGGAGUUGAAUUAAGAAGUAAAAAGAAACGUCUUUCUUUCUCACUUUGCCUACUUUUCUUUUCUAACAUUUUUGGUAUCCAGAACAGCCAGGUUUCUUCACCCGAGAGCCAAAGAGAGGGUGAGAAAGAGAUACUGUAAAACGUAAGAGAUAAAUCCAUCAUCUUCAAAUAAGAAAAAAUGACAGUGAAUACCAAUUCAAAUUCUUAGCCUCUUCCAAUCUUUAAAGGGGUGAAUUAUCAGUUUUGAAGUAUUAAGAUGAAGACUCUUUUUAAGUAUCAAUAUCUAUAGGACUUGGUGGAGAAUGGAUUUCCAGAUCUGGAUGAAGACCACACACAACAACACCAGGAAAAUCGUAGGAAGGAUACGAAAGCACUGUUCUUGAUUCAACAAGCCCUUCGUGAUGAUAUAUUUCCCAGAAUUUUAGUAGCAGAGACCUCUAAUGGAGCUUGGAAAAUUUUUCAGCAGGAGUAUAUAGAAUAUAAGAAGAAAAUAGAAUUUGCAUGGAGCUUACAAGACCGUACUCACCGCAGCAAAAGGUGGUCGUCGAGCAAAAAAAUUGCAUAGUGGUUGAGAUGGCCAGAAGCUUACAUAAUGAAAGAGGACUUCAAGUUCACUUUUGGGGAGAAGCAGUGGCUGUAACUAUGAAAAUCCUAAACAUCUCUCUUAAAAAAGCUAUUUGGAUCAAACUCCGUAUGAAGCAUGCACAGGAUGGAAACCAUUCGAGCAAUGAUAAUUCUAUUCCAGUAAUCUCCCACUCUCCAUCUUCAGCAUCAUCCAGCAAAACGCCACCAAUAAAGUUUUGAUCGCUGGAAGAUAUUUAUGCAUCUUGCAAUUUUUCCUUGUUAGCUGCUAAACCAACAUGUUAUGAAGAAGAUGCAAAGCGAUCUGAGUAGGAGAAUGCAAUGAUUGAAGAGAUCCAGUCCUUUGAGAAAAAUAAAACCUGGGAAUUAGUUGAUUUUCCUAAAGGGAAAAAUGUUAUCAGGCGUAAAUGGAUUUUCAAAGUAAAUUACAUGCUGAUGGAAGUGUGAAAAGGCAUUAAGCUUGACUUAUUGCAAGAGAAUAUUUCCAAAAACAAAGCAUCGACUUUGAAGAGAUAUUCUUACCGAUAGCUCGCUCUAAAAUAGUUAGAACUACUCUAGCCUUGGCUGCUCAACUUGGUUGGCCUGUGUACCAAUUUGAUGUUAAGUAUACCUUCGUAAAUGGCAACUUACAUUAAGAAGUAUACGUAUCUCAACCUAAAGACUUUAUCUCUAGUGAAAGGAAGAGCAAAGUAUACAGACUAAAGAAGAUAUUAUAUGGUCUAAAGCAAGCUCCACAGGCAUGAUAUAGCAAAAUUGAUACCUUUCUCAAGAGCAGCAGUUAAGAAAAAGUGAGAAUGAACCCACACUUUAUGUGAAGAAGUGAGGUAAUAGUGAUUUUGUAGUUGUUUGUAUUUAUGCCGAUGAUAUUAUAUAUAAGGGCUAUUGUGAAUCUAUUGUUUCAGAAUUUAAGAGUUGCAUGAUGGGUAAAUUUGAAAUGUUUGACUUGGGUAUGGUGGAUUAUUUUGUUAGGCUUAAGGUAAGACAAGGUUCAGAUGGAAUCUUUUUUACUCAAAGAAAAUAUGCUACUAAACUUUUACAGAAGUUCAACAUGCUGAAUUGUAAUCCAUCUCCCACGCCUGUGAAUAUGAAUGAGAAAAUGGUACUUGAUGA